AGGUGACAUGCAUCCUUGGACCUGAAAAGAGUUCCAUUGUUUAAAUGAGAAAAUGUCAGACUAUCAAAAUCCCUAGAGAAAAACAAAAUAUCACAAUAAAAAUUGCUCCUGACCUGUUGAAUGAGGUCUGAAUUGAUAUAUUUGAUAUUGAAGUAUACUAUUAUUAUCAUCCAUAGUGAUAUUUAUGAUACAAAAUUACAAACUAAGGCAAUAUGAGGUCAUAUGUAAAGGCAUGCCAUAGAGAUAUGAAAAUAGCAACACAGAAAGAGUUUUAUUUUUUUGUUGUUA
rnacentral:misc_RNA from 1 species